GACGAACGCUGGCGGCGUGCUUAACACAUGCAAGUCGAACGGUAAGGCCCCUUCGGGGGUACACGAGUGGCGAACGGGUGAGUAACACGUGAGCAACCUGCCCUUGACUUCGGAAUACCAGCUGGAAACAGCUGCUAAUACCGGAUAUGACCCUGGUCCUCCUGGACUGGGGCGAAAGCUCCGGCGGUCAAGGAUGGGCUCGCGGCCUAUCAGCUUGUUGGUGAGGUAACGGCUCACCAAGGCUUCGACGGGUAGCCGGCCUGAGAGGGCGACCGGCCACACUGGGACUGAGAUACGGCCCAGACUCCUACGGGAGGCAGCAGUGGGGAAUAUUGCACAAUGGGCGCAAGCCUGAUGCAGCGACGCCGCGUGAGGGAUGACGGCCUCGG
rnacentral:rRNA from 1 species